CCUCGUGCUUUGAGCGGUGGGGAAACACCCGUUUCCAUUCCGAACACGGAAGUUAAGCCCACCAGCGCCGAUGAUACUUGGGCCGCAAGGCCCUGGGAAAGUAGGCCAGCGCGAGGU
rnacentral:rRNA from 1 species